GAAGAGCUGAAAUGAGAGAGGAUGAAAGGAGCCGAUUGGAUGAGAGAGGAGGCCAAGAUUGAGGAGGGGUCGGGUCGAGAAGGAGAAGGGAACGGCGCGUAAGGGAAAGACGAGCAAGGAAACUAGAAGGAGAGAAGGAAACGCGGUUGAAGAGGAAAGGAGGAGGUAUCGCGGAGGCGAAAAGCUGAAGGGAAGGGAGUCGCGCCCGAGAAACAGUGUGAUGGGAAAAUUCGAAGCCAAGCUAUACGCGACGUCGGUGUUAGAAAAAUCGAUAAGCUUCGUCCUUUCCAUUUCUUUUUUCAAGAUUCCCUUUUUCUAUUUCACACUAACCGGCGUGUAAGUGUGAAAUCAAUCAUCCAAUCUUUAAAGCAAGCGAGGAGUGCUCGCGGAGAACCAAGGAGACCAUCCUUCAGAAGUUAGGAGUCGAACACGAGGCUGUUCGAGUUUUCAGAGCACCGCACCCGAACUAGGUUUCGGGAAAUAGAGCACUCACCUCGCCACGGUGAGUGAGGGGUCUUCUCGAAAAAACCAGAAAUCGUCUCCGGUACUGUAAAUAAGGAAAAAGUGAAGCUAUUUGGCCUUCACAGCACCGAACCGAAUCCGGUAACCCUUUGUUUCCUUCCUCGUUGCUGUGUUUUGGUGAAUUCUGAUGCUAGUAUGUAGGUAUGAGUAUACGUAUAGAUUUUGGGAACCAAAUCGUCCACCUCUACAUAAGGAGCUGAAGUGGUGGUUUGCCAAAUACCGAAGAAUGAGAUUAUUGUUGGCCGUUGAUCAAGUGGAGUACAAUAUGUUGAGGGACUUUGGUAAGUAUUUCCUUAUUCUAACUUAGAUUGGGAUUUCAAAAGCCUAUGCAUGUGUGUUCUUGAAUUUGUAUGUGUUUUAAUAUAAAACACAUACUGACUUGAUUCCUUGAUAAAAGAGCAUAACCUGGACAUCUUCCGGCAAUGGGAACUACCAGGAAUGAGUUUGGGACACUUGAUUUGCCUGCUCUUGUAAUAUUGAACCUGAUUUCAUGUGAUUAUGGGACAUACGACAAGGGAAACCCUAACUUGUUGGAAAUCAUGAGAAGAUGGAAACCGAAAAAUUAAGGACUGAUAAAUAUUUGAAAUUGUGAUAAGUAACAAAUUAUAAGAGAAAA